rnacentral:tRNA from 1 species
GAGCCAUUAGCUCAGCUGGGAGAGCAUCUGACUUUUAAUCAGAGGUUCAGAGGUUCGAAUCCUCUAUGGCUCA